UGGAGGCCAUAUGUCUGAAAAUCUCAACUCAGGGAUUAUAGCCAUAAUAUUGAUAAAGAAAAGGCGACUAGAGAAUGGAGGCCCUAUGUCUGAAAAUCUCAACUCAUGGAUUGGAGACCUAAUGUUGGUAAAGAAAAGGUGACUAGGGAAUGGAGGCCCUAUGUCUUAAAAUCUCAACUCAAGGAUUUGAGCCCUAAUGUUGACAAAAGGCGACUAGGUAAUGGAGGCCCAAUGUCUGAAAAUCUCAACUUAGGGAUUGGGGCCCUAAUGUUGGGAAAAGGCGACUAGGGAAUGGAGGCUCUAUGUCUGAAAAUCUCAACCCAUGGAUUGGAUCCCUAAUGUUGGCAAAAGGUUACUAGGGAAUGGAGGCCCUAUGUCUAAAAUCUCAACUCAGGGAUUGUAGCCCUAAUGUUGGUAAAAAGGCGACUAGGGAAUGUAGGCCCUGUCUAAAAUCUCAACUCAUAGAUUAGAGCCCUAAUGUAGGUAAAAUGCGUCUAGGGAAUGGAGGCCCUAUAUCUAAAAUCUCAACUCAGGGAUUGGAGCCCUAGUGUUGGUAAACAGGCGACUAGGGAACGGAGACCCUAUGUCUAAAAUCUUAACUCAGGAAUUGGAGCCCUAAUGUUGGCAAAAGUUGACUAGGGAAUGGAGGCCCAAUGUCUAAAAUCUCAGCUCAGGGAUUGGAGCCCUAAUGUUGGCAAAAGGUGACUAGGUAAUGGAGGUCCUAUGUCUGAAAAUCUCAACUUAGGGAUUGGGGCCCUAAUGUUGGCAAAAGGUGAAUAGGGAAUGGAGACCUUAUGUCUAAAAAUCUUAACUCAUUGAUUGGAUCCCUAAUGUUGGUAAAAAGGCGACUAGGGAAUGGAGGCCAUAUAUCUAAAAUCUCAACUCGGGGAUUGAAGCCCUAAUGUUGGCAAAGAAAAGGCGACUAGGGAAUGGAGGUCCUAUGUCUGAAAAUUUCAACUCAGGGAUUA
rnacentral:lncRNA from 1 species